GAUGAACGCUGGCGGCGUGCCUAAUACAUGCAAGUCGAGCGAACAGACGAGGAGCUUGCUCCUCUGACGUGAGCGGCGGACGGGUGAGUAACACGUGGAUAACCUACCUAUAAGACUGGGAUAACUUCGGGAAACCGGAGCUAAUACCGGAUAACAUGUUGAACCGCAGGGUUCAACAGUGAAAGACGGUCUUGCUGUCACUUAUAGAUGGAUCCUCGCCGCAUUAGCUAGUUGGUAAGGUAACGGCUUACCAAGGCAACGAUGCGUAGCCGACCUGAGAGGGUGAUCGGUCACACUGGAACUGAGACACGGUCCAGACUCCUACGGGAGGCAGCAGUAGGGAAUAUUGCGCAAUGGGCGAAAGCCUGACGGAGCAACGCCGCGUGAGUGAUGAAGGUCUUCGGAUCGUAAAGCUCUGUUAGUAGGGAAGAACAAAUGUGUAAGUAAAUAUGCAUGUUUUGACGGUACCUAAACAGAAAGCCACGGCUAACUACGUG
rnacentral:rRNA from 1 species